ACACGACUACAUUAGAUACCCGGGUAGUCCUAGGCGUAAAUGAUGCGAGUUAAGUGUGGGGGCAUCUACGAGAUGGCCCUGUGCUGUAGGGUAGCCGUUAAACUCGCUGCCUGGGGAGUACGGCCGCAAGGCUGAAACUUAAAGGAAUUGGCGGGGGAGCACCACAACGGGUGGAGCUUGCGGUUUAAUUGGAUUCAACGCCGGAAAUCUUACCGGGACCGACAGCAACAUGAAGGCCAGGCUGAAGACUUUGCCGGAUUAGCUG
rnacentral:rRNA from 1 species